rnacentral:lncRNA from 1 species
CUUUUCUCAGUUCCCACUCCUUGCGUCAGGACUCCCCUCAAAUGAUGAAUUUACAAAGGAACCUGUUAACAGAGUAAUAAACUCGGCCUCCCCACCCAGUGCCUGUCAGCACUCCCACCCAAGACCUCCAGUCUCCACAUGGCUCCUUUUCUCUUUUCCUCUCUUGUCUCUCUAUCACCCAGAGCCCUUUUCAUGUACGGCAAUAUCUCACAUGGGGACAUCCUCAAUUCCCAAAUGACCUCAGGGAAACCUGACAUUUGCCCCUGACACUAAAACUUACCAAAAAUGAAAAAAAAAAAAAAUAGAAUUUCUAUGCACAAGUCUCCUUGAAUUUGGAAGCCAAGGAAAUAUUUUCUGCUAUUGCUACAGAUAGACUGAAGAAAGUUCUACUUGGAAAAACCAGAGCUGUCUGAAGAAUGUAGGGGAGUGAUGGAUAACAAAUUUCCUUUUGGGAGGUGAGGGCUGAUGUAUAAAAUGCUACUGUAAAACCAAGCUUCCUGAUGGGAAUGGAAAUGAAAGGAUCCAGAACUAAUGGAGACCAGGUAGCAGCACUUGGUCAUCAGAAGCAAGGUUUGUGCCAGAGUCCUGCAUAAUGAAGCCUCUGAAGAAGAAAGGGCAAGAGCAGAAGCAAAUAUGCAAUUUUUCCUAAAACCGCUAUGUGAUAUUGAAAGCAUCAGCUUUGGGGCCCAUGUAAUGGUGUACCAUGGCCAAGGGUAGAAAAUUUUCCUUUACUUCAGCAGGAUCUUGAACUGGGAGAUGAAUCUAACGUAAGAUGCAAAGCAGGAGAGGUCAUAACAGCCAGACUACUCUGACUAGUCUAUAUCUGGAGUUGUUUGGAAGUCCCAGAGGACAGAGGACAUACUGCAUCAUGGAGAAUCCGAUGGGGUGAGGAAGAUUCAACAUCACUAUAACAGAUAUAUGGCCAAAGACAAAAAUUGAGAAAACAGUGGUACAAUAAGGUAAUAAGAGGCCAGCAUUCCCAAGUACAUAUGUGAGAAAAUUGAAGAGUUCAGCUAGUGGCCAGGAGGACUGUUUACAUGACCACAUAUGGAUUUCUUGAAAUACUUGAGAAAUUUAAGAAGAUCAAGUCUCCACAGUUUUUUAGAUGACAGCUGAGCCAGGAAAUACUGCCAUGUUAUAAUUCUCCCGAUCUAGUUUACCCCCAGGUUAAAUUGGCUGGAUUGGAACAAAACUGAUUUCUCAUCAGUGGCUUCAGUGGCUUACCUGUCUUCUAGAGUGGGAAAGCAUAAAGACAGAAUUAAUAACAUGAAUUCUAAAUGGUUUUUCUGUUUCAUUCAACAAAGACUGUGGAUAGGAAUAAUGCCUAGUAUAAACUUAGAUGCUUUUCCAAUGAGAAGAAUCUGGUAUAUUUUCUCUUGUCACUCAUCAUAAAAUAUCUCUGAUGAGUGAAUUAAACAAACUGAAGCAAACUACAGACCCUCUGGUUUUGAGGAAAUGUUAUAAACAGGUUUGAGUUUCAGUCCCAGCUCUGCCACUCUCUCACACAGUGACCUUUCUCAAGUCACAAAACUGCUGUGUCCCUCAGCUUACCAUCUGCAAUGGGAAAAUUAUAACAUUCUAGGAUCUUAAGCGUGCCACUCCAAAGAAAAUUGUGCCUGCAAAGAAAUAUGUUUCCACUUAUUGAAGUGGCUAAAUAGUCAAUCAUCAGAUAAUUUUCUUUGGGAGAAAUCUUCAUAGCCAUCUUUGAAAAACAUCUGGCCUAGAGGACAGUGCCGAUGACUGUUUUAUGGUUUAAUGCUCCAAGCCUCCUUUCUAUUUGUUUUAACUGGCACACUACAGAAACCUCUUUAAUAAUUGCCCAAGUUAUUUUCAUAAAGAGAUUUUUGUGCCUUUCAGACUGCAUAAUUAAAUUUCAUGUGUGCGUAAGUAUGUGAGAUAGAUGAUGGAUGGAUGGAUAGAUGGAUACAUAGAUACAUAGAUAGAUCACAGCUCAGGUUUGAAUUCUGUAACUGUGCUCUCCCCACUUAGUGAUUUAGAAUAAGUCAAGCAUAGACUGAACAUAACCCACAUCUUUUAAAGAUGCUGUGUCCACUAAGCUUGUUCUAAAAUAAGUAAAUAGUUCCUAGGCAUGCUUGAUUGUUUAUUAUUUUAUUAUUUAACAUAAAAGAGAGAACUUAACAUGGAAGUAAUUUUCAGAUUAGUUACCCUGCAGCUGCUGAACCAGGAUAAAAAAAAAAAGCCCCAGGGAAGCCAUUGCCAGUAAUGAUGGCAUUUUUCACACAUUACUUGAAAGUGGAACAAAUAAGGAGUCUGGUGCUUUCCAAACAGAAGAAAAAAAAAAACUUGAAAUAAAAGCAAAAAUUGAAUAGAAGUAGCUGAAUGCUUCUCAUUCUCUGACAAGGUCGUUCAGUGUGGCUCAUGGGAUGAGUCUAUCAGCUAAGUCUCACAAAAAGGAAAUCCCAUUCUUUAUGUAUACCCUUCACUGGAAGCUAAAUGGGAGGAAGAGAAUGUAGUGGAAUGCAUGAGGAAAGAGCAUCUUUAUCCCUAGAAAAGGAACAAUUUUUAGUCUUCAUUUUGGUUAAAGAUUGGCUAUAGAUUUAACUCAGCUAUACUGAAAGAAAUAUUGCAUUUGACGUAGGGUGCCUAAUAAUCUAACCUAUGUGACAUUCACAUUUCCCAAUCAUGUUUGCCAAGAAGAAAUCAAGCUGCAUAGCCCUGAGGGCAAUUAGAGAGGUAAGAGGGACACUGUUUACUGGGCCUCAGAGUCCUGAUUAUAGAUCAUUAUUAUUCAUAUUGAGUAACAGAAUAAACACUGGUACAGGAGUUCAGGAACAUAAGUUCUAGAUGUGUAUCUGCUUGUUGGCUGUGUCUCCCUCAGAGUUGGAUUAGAUAAAAAUUAUGAUCCUUUAUAGUUCUACAUUCUAGAGUUUUUUUUUUUUACAAGGAGCCAUGAAUAUCUUUUGUAAAUAAAUCAUUUUUAAGUCUCUCACUGAAUGAAUAACAUUCAUGCACACUAGAAUGCAGUUGUUCUGAGGGCAACUAAAAUUAGAGUGAUGACCCCACAUUCUGUUUUAGGAGUCUUUGAACUGCUAAAUUAAUGACUGAUGGGCAAUGAAUAUAGGGGUCAUUUUGUUGAAGAGAAGAAAUACUGUUCCACAGUUUUCUUGGGGGAUAACCCUGGGCCCUUGUCUUGAUUUGAAAAGGUACUCAGAAUGCAGAACACAGAAUUUCAGUAGAUUAUGAGAAAGUGAGACAAUAGAAGUAAAGAAUGGAUAAUUAUGUUGGAUUACUUCGCAAUGAGCUACAAAUUAUUUAGUCCCAAGCUGUCCAAUAAGGCGGGUAGUUGUCACUUGGGUAUUAAGCACUUGGCUAGUAUGAGUUGAGAUGAACCAUAAGUGCAAAAUACACAUUGAUUUUGAAGACUUUGUAUAAAAAAACUAUGGAAAAUAUUUCAAUAACAAUAUUAAUUACAUGUUGAAAUGAUUAUAUUUUGGAUAAAAUAUAUUACUAACAUUAAUUUUACUGUUUUCUUUUUACUUUUUAAAAAUGUGCCUUUUCAAAAAUUUAAGAUCACUUCUGUGGCUCACCCUGCAUUUUUACCAGGUGGUGUUGAUUUAGACAUUUGCUGACCUUACAUGGACCCUGAAGGAUUUCUGUUCCCUAUUGCAUAGCCAAGAAACAAGACUGAGAUUGAAGGGUAGGGCUGGAAGUAGAGGGAAGAUAGAAGCAGAUUGGAAGGGAAAAAAACUAAUCGCUGUGCCUGGAGCUAUAUGGGUUCAUGCCAAAAUAUGUACUUGUAUUUGCAUCUAUUUGUUUCUUUGAUUGCAUUGUACAUGAAGGAAAUAUCAGUCUUGUUAUUUUUUGGUUUUGUUAUCCAAGUAUCUUCUCUCCCUUAUUAGGCUUAGUUAUUUUCUAACUAGAGACACUUUGAUUCAUAGAAAUAUGAAAUAUGAAUGUAUCUUCAGCUCUUCUUCCUCCUUAUUUCUAAAGCAGGGAAACCAGGAAAACAUGAGAGAUUCACAGGGGCCACCACCACAAGAGGUCUUUGGUAAUUGAUAUGCUCUAAUGGCGGUAGCAGACUUUGUGGGUUACUAAACACUUUCUAUCCUUUCUCCCUUUCAACAAUACCCCAGUUUUGACCAAGUAUUCAACCUAUUGGAUUUUUUACUUUUUAUUAUUUAUUAUAUAAAUCUAUUCAUAGAAAACAAAAUCUGAAUGACCAAUAAACAUAAGAUGCUUAAUAUCAGUAGUCAGGGUUAUUUAAAUUAAACCAAAGAAAAUGAAACGCAUUUCAAAUUCAUCAAAUUAAAAUUAUUUUAAAUUAUUUCAAGUGUAAAUUAUUUUAUUAAAAUUAUUUUAAAGAAUUUGGAGCCGUAGAUAUUCUCAUAAGCUGCUGGUGGAAGCAUACAUUGGCACAACUGAGAAGGAAAUUUAACAAUAUCUAGUAUAGUUGAUACUAUACGUUUCAACCUAGCAAUUCUUCCUCUGAAUAUUUACCCUAGACACAUGGAGAAGAAUGUUCAUAGCAGCAGUGUUUGCAAUACUCUAAUCAAUAUAAGAAUGUGG